UUUAUCGUCAUCCCCAACUGUGUUUGUUGUCCUCCCUAGGGUUGUAGGCAUUUUAUUGCAGUAGGUUGCAUGGUUUCGGUAGAAUUUUGUUCCCCAAUUAAGUCGCCAUCAGAUUCAGCCCCAGUCAGAGCUUCUGAGCAGCUAUUCGUGUUCAUCCCCUGCAAGGGUUGUCUCCCAUGUGAUAUGGUGUUGACCUAAAUUUCCCCGCAGAGUUGACAGUAGUUUCCUCAGCAGAU
rnacentral:lncRNA from 1 species